CUCUUCUGGAGUUUUGCAGGGAUCCCAGGGGCAUAGCCUGGAGUCUUAAAGUCGUGGGAAAGCCCAAACGAUUUGUUUGCCCCCUUCUGAGGAACUUCUUGAGCUUCAUUUUAGAAUGCAAUUGACAGAAGUUCAACUCAAUUUUCUUCUUUUCUUGCUUCUGAAAGUGUAUCUUUACAAGAAAGAUAACACACUUUGCAAGCAGUGUAGAGGCAGCUGAUCUAUCUCCAGAAACCAGGAAAGAGCAAUGCUCAGGGCCUGAAAAGUGAAGCUCAUCUGCAGGACUCAUAUCACAAUAACAGCUGUCCUUUGCCAAGAAGAGAACUAAAGAAACUCGAUGGAAAAAAAAAAUCAGUACCUCAUCUUAUAUUAGAAAGUAGUGAUGUCUUCACUACACAAAAAAAAAUUCAGAUAGGCUUUCUUUUUCAAUUUUAAGUCAUGCGUAGAAGACAAAACUGAAACAUGCUGGUUGGCUAAACUCUUUGUCAUUCCUGCCAUGGACCAACUUUGAUUCUUAAAUAAACAAGAUUUCCUCUGA